rnacentral:tRNA from 1 species
UUUACAGUAAGCUAAGUAUAAGCUAUUAAAUUUUUAAUUUAAUAAUGAAUUAAUUUUUCUUGUAUAA